CACAUGCAAGUCGUGGGGCAGCGGAUGCUUAGCUUGCUAAGUAUGCCGGCGACCGGCGCACGGGUGAGUAACGCGUACCGAACCUGCCCAUCACACAGGGAUAGGCUUGCGAAAGCAAGAUUAAUACCUGAUGGUCUCAGUUGUAUGCAUGUAUGAUUGAGUAAAGCCUUCGGGCGGUGAUGGAUGGCGGUGCGUCCCAUUAGGAAGUUGGCGGGGUAACGGCCCACCAAUCCUUCGAUGGGUAGGGGUUCUGAGAGGAAGGUCCCCCACAUUGGAACUGAGAUACGGUCCAAACUCCUACGGGAGGCAGCAGUGAGGAAUAUUGGUCAAUGGGCGAGAGCCUGAACCAGCCAAGUAGCGUGCGGGAUGAAGGCCCUUGUGGUCGUAAACCGCUUUUAUCAGUGAAUAAAGUGCACCACGUGUGGUGUCAUUGCAGGUAGCUGAAGAAAAAGGACCGGCUAAUUCCGUGCCAGCAGCCGCGGUAAUACGGAAGGUCCGGGCGUUAUCCGGAAUUAUUGGGUUUAAAGGGAGCGCAGGCGGGAGUGUAAGUCAGCUGUUAAAUAUCAGGGCCCAACUCUGUUAUGCAGUUGAAACUAUAUUUCUUGAGUACGCACAGGGAUGGCGGAAUUCAGGGUGUAGCGGUGAAAUGCUUAGAUAUCCUGAAGAACUCCGAUCGCGAAGGCAGCCAUCCGGAGCGUAACUGACGCUGAGGCUCGAAGGUGCGGGUAUCGAACAGGAUUAGAUACCCUGGUAGUCCGCACGGUAAACGAUGAUACUCGCAGUUCGGUCAUUAUGAUUGAGUGUCCA
rnacentral:rRNA from 1 species